UGGGGAAUAUUGGGCAAUGGGGGAAACCCUGACCCAGCAACGCCGCGUGAGGGAAGAAGGCUUUCGGGUUGUAAACCUCUGUCCUUGGGGACGAAGGAAGUGACGGUACCCAAGGAGGAAGCUCCGGCUAACUACGUGCCAGCAGCCGCGGUAAUACGUAGGGAGCAAGCGUUGUCCGGAAUUACUGGGCGUAAAGGGUGCGUAGGCGGCCUGGUAAGUCAGAUGUGAAAUACCCGUGCUUAACAUGGGGGGUGCAUCUGAUACUGUCAGGCUUGAGUGCAGGAGAGGAAAGCGGAAUUCCUAGUGUAGCGGUGAAAUGCAUAGAUAUUAGGAGGAACACCAGUGGCGAAGGCGGCUUUCUGGACUGUAACUGACGCUGAGGCACGAAAGCGUGGGGAGCAAACAGG
rnacentral:rRNA from 1 species